rnacentral:lncRNA from 1 species
AUUUUGAUUAAAGAUUAAAAAUAAUAUGUACGUAGAAAUGAAUACCAGGAAUUUUAAGAAGAUCGAAAACCGAGACGCAAAACUUCGAGACUGCAACUUGAAAAACAAAAUGGAUUAGAUUGUGUUAACCAUUACGAUUAAAGAUUAGAAAAUAUGUAGAAAUGAAUUACCCAGAAUUUUGAAGAAAUCUCCAAACUGAACUGCUGAAAAUAUUGAAUAAAACAAUAUUAUAAGCAAUUAUAAAAAUAGAUAAUAUAAAAAGUUGUAACCAGAUAAUAUAAACAGAUAAGUGUUAAAAUAAUAUCGAACUUAUUAAUUUGGAGACUAAAAAUUCCUUAUAGAAUAAAUGUCAUUAUAGCAUUAAACAAGCCACAGAUAUCUAUUUACGAUAUUAGAAGCAUUAAAAAAGCCACAUAUAAUUGUAAACAAUGAUAAAAACAUUAUAGGGAACUGUGACUGAAUUUUUAUGAAUGGUUGUGUGCAAUGCCUUUCUCGUUUUGAUUUGAACAGAAUUUAGAAUUUCUAUCUUCGUGUCCUCCUCAAGACAGUUAUCUUUACAUGGUAUCACAGUGAAUGUAACAACUUUGUACCAACUUCACCCAACGAAAAUGCGCCCAAAUAGACAUACAAGUAAUACAACCAACACACAUGCUAACUAUAAAAGGGAGAUGAAAACCAACACGAAGGUACUUGCAAUGCCAUGAACCCUUUUGUUACAUACAUGCUAACUAUAAAAGGGAGAAUGAAAACCAACUUCUAUGCGAUGAUAUCAUUUGGCAUUUUUCGUCUAUCAUACCAUGCAUAAACUACUUAUAACAAUUAAGCAAUACUUGCUGCAUUAAGGUAUACAUUGCAAGAGCUGAAAUAUAAAUCACAAAAACAGAGAAUCAGAUAGUCAUAAACUAUCAAUGCCAAGAAAAUGCACUCUACUAAUUGCAUAAACACCACCUAAUAAAGAAUACACGCAAUUUCAAGGGUUUGAAAGAUCCAAACAAAAGUUCAAUUCUUUAAUAAAAUUCUCGAUUAUAUAUUAAAAUAAAACGUUGUGAUGUUGUGUUGGGACCCAAACUUCUUCACCGAUCCACACAUUGGAUGCUUCUACUAUAUUUGUCAGAUUUUAAGUAAAUUACUCCAACCAUUUAGUAGUCCACUAAUGCAAGAAAAAGUGAAGAUAAACACCAAGAUGCAUGAAAGCUUGAUUCCAAAAAGAUGUGCAGUGCUCAGCAGUCACAUGUGUACACAUCAAUAACAAAUAAGUUUGUAACCAAACCAGACUCAAUUAAAAAGGUAUUAAUCAGGGACCAAAUCACAUAAACAUAAUUAAGACUAAUUUAGAAAAAACCCCAAAUUUUUAGGGUUAGAAUUUUAAAAAUUUGAAAUUAUUAUCAUCACUCAAGCAGAAAAUUUACCUAAUUUGGAAAAAACCCCAAAUUUUAGGGUUAGGGUUUUCAAAAAUUAGAAUUGUAUCAUUUAUCAAUCAGAGAAUUACCUAAUUUCGGAAAACCCCAAAAUUCUAGGGUUAGGGUUUUCAAAAAUUGGAAUUGUAUCAUUUAACAAUAAAAAAACUUACCUAAUUUCGAAAAACCCCUAAAUUUUAGGGUUAGGGUUUUAAAAUUUUCGAUUGUAUCAUCAAUCAAACUCAAUUUACCCCAAUUUAGAAAAACCCCCAAAUUUUAGGGUUUAGAGUUUUUAAAAAUUCGAAUUGUAUCAUCAAUCAAACACAAUUUACCUAAUUUUAAAAAAACCCCAAAUUUUUAGGGUUAGGGUUUUAAAAAUUUCGAUUGUAUCAUCAAUCAAACUCAAUUUAUCCCAAUUUAGAAAAAACCCCAAAUUUUAGGGUUUAGAGUUUUUAAAAAUUCGAAUUGUAUCAUCAAUCAAACACAAUUUACCUAAUUUUAAGAAAAACCCCAAAUUUUUAGGGUUAGGGUUUUAAAAAUUUCGAUUGUAUCAUCAAUCAAACUCAAUUUAUCCCAAUUUAGAAAAAACCCCAAAUUUUAGGGUUUAGAGUUUUUAAAAAUUCGAAUUGUAUCAUCAAUCAAACACAAUUUACCUAAUUUUAAGAAAAACCCCAAAUUUUUAGGGUUAGGGUUUUAAAAAUUUCGAUUGUAUCAUCAAUCAAACUCAAUUUACCCCAAUUUAAAAAAAACCCCAAAUUUUAGGGUUUAGAGUUUUCAAAAAUUCGAAUUGUAUCAUCAAUCAAACACAAUUUACCUAAUUUUGAAAAACCCCCAAAUUUUUAGGGUUGGGGUUUUCAAAAAUUGGAAUUGAAUAACCCAAUUUCGAAAAACCCCCAAACUUAUACAAAUGAACGAAUAAAGUUUAACAUUUGUUGUUAAACCGAAACCAAAAAAGAAGAAAAGAAGAAAAUCGAAAUAGAAAAAAAAAUUUGCAUUUCUGUCGAAGAAAACUCACCGUUGAAAUGAAUGAAAACGACGAGAGAAUGUGGAGGUCGAUGACGAUGACAGAAGGUGGAGGUCGAUCGAUGGUGAAGACGACGAGUGAUGGUGGAUUUGACGAGAGAUAAUCAAUCGGUGUUCAAGAUAGUUUUGGCCGCCAUUGUUGUUGUCGAGA